AUUAUUAAAGAAUUUCGGUUAUCGAUGGGGAUGCGUUCCAUUAGGCAGUUGGUGAGGUAACGGCUCACCAAACCUUCGAUGGAUAGGGGUUCUGAGAGGAAGGUCCCCCACAUUGGAACUGAGACACGGUCCAAACUCCUACGGGAGGCAGCAGUGAGGAAUAUUGGUCAAUGGGCGCAGGUCUGAACCAGCCAAGUAGCGUGAAGGAUGACUGCCCUAUGGGUUGUAAACUUCUUUUAUAUGGGAAUAAAGUUUUCCACGUGUGGAAUUUUGUAUGUACCAUAUGAAUAAGGAUCGGCUAACUCCGUGCCAGCAGCCGCGGUAAUACGGAGGAUCCGAGCGUUAUCCGGAUUUAUUGGGUUUAAAGGGAGCGUAGGUGGACAGUUAAGUCAGUUGUGAAAGUUUGCGGCUCAACCGUAAAAUUGCAGUUGAUACUGGCUGUCUUGAGUACAGUAGAGGUGGGCGGAAUUCGUGGUGUAGCGGUGAAAUGCUUAGAUAUCACGAAGAACUCCGAUUGCGAAGGCAGCUCACUGGACUGCAACUGACACUGAUGCUCGAAAGUGUGGGUAUCAAACAGGAUUAGAUACCCUGGUAGUCCACACAGUAAACGAUGAAUACUCGCUGUUUGCGAUAUACAGUAAGCGGCCAAGCGAAAGCAUUAAGUAUUCCACCUGGGGAGUACGCCGGCAACGGUGAAACUCAAAGGAAUUGACGGGGGCCCGCACAAGCGGAGGAACAUGUGGUUUAAUUCGAUGAUACGCGAGGAACCUUACCCGGGCUUAAAUUGCAUUUGAAUAUAUUGGAAACAGUAUAGCCGUAAGGCAAAUGUGAAGGUGCUGCAUGGUUGUCGUCAGCUCGUGCCGUGAGGUGUCGGCUUAAGUGCCAUAACGAGCGCAACCCUUAUCUUUAGUUACUAACAGGUCAUGCUGAGGACUCUAGAGAGACUGCCGUCGUAAGAUGUGAGGAAGGUGGGGAUGACGUCAAAUCAGCACGGCCCUUACGUCCGGGGCUACACACGUGUUACAAUGGGGGGUACAGAAGGCAGCUACCUGGUGACAGGAUGCUAAUCCCAA
rnacentral:rRNA from 1 species